rnacentral:misc_RNA from 1 species
UCCAAUUCCACUUGAUAAGCCUGCUUCCUUUCUCUAGACCUGGCAGCUGAUUCCCUAUUCUUGAUCAUCCUCCUCUGUCUUUGCUGCGCCACCCUAUCUAAUGGUUCCAUUACAGGGGUCCUUCCCCUUUUUCCCCUGCCUACACCACUUCCGCCUCUUCCUGCAACCACCUCCACCUCAUUGCCAAACCCAACAAUCGACCCCUCUACUUU